GGGUUACUCCUUGGCGCUUGCGCGCUGUUUUGAUGAAGAUUCGCACCUCUAUCAAAACGGGUAACCCCGCCUCUUGGUAAGGCCUUACUGUCAGAUCAAGUCUGAACUUCUACAACUGAUUAAUAGGCCAACGCGCGAGCUUGUCGGCGAUGCUG
rnacentral:sRNA from 1 species